UUGGGUUCUUUUUUCAAUUAGAUGCUGAAAACUUCUUUAUAUGUGAUCCACUAUCAUUUGAUUGUUAUAAAUCUAUUUUUUCAAUACAGAUUCUGUUGUAGAAAUAAUGUUGAAUAUAUCUAAAUAGGAUGAGAUAUCGUCAAGUAUGAUCCAUAUAAUUUAUCAAUUUAGUGAAGAGAUGUUGGUACCAGCUGAAAUACGUUUUUCUGAUAAGAUUUCGAAUGACUAAACUUCUAACUCAUUUAGCGUAUGUGUGGAUGAGACUAUAUGAACCUCUCAGCAUUAUGUAAAAGACCUCUCUCCAUCAGUUGGCUCAACAGAUAGGGCUUUUAAUCUUCGGUGUGACUGUGGUGACACAAUAGCUCUGGUGAAUUUAAAUUCCUUGCUUCCAGCAGAUUUGUCCAGCCCUUCAUACGGACUUGAUUGCGCAUACUUCCCUUCAACACCUGAGUCAACAAAUAUUAAGUACACAACUUCUCAUAGAUAAGACAUUCCUUUGCUUUGCUUGAUUCAAGCUUCAACUGAGCCUCAACGUCUUCCCAUAGGUCAAAAGAAAUGUAGCAAGAAUCGUCCAAAGCAUCAUUUUGAUCAGAAUCUAUAGUAACGAGUGCACAACACAUCAAGGUGCUCUUUUAGCUGGUUGUUAUUUAAAUAAAGAUUUGUCCCUUUAUUAAAUUCAUCACAUAUAUAAUUUCAAAUUUUCUUAUCAAAGGCAUUGUUCGGUUGGUUCCCCAGCUUAAUCUGCUCAACAAGAAGGUCAUCAAAAAUCUUGAAGGAGGGUGUCCAUUUUGUUAUCAGCGUUUUUGUUUUGUUGCAUUUUAUAGAUUCAGAAUCCACAGUUGAUAAUGGAGUUAUCAGCGACAGCAAAAAGGGUCCUCAUUGGCCCAACCUGCUAAGCUCAACCUCCAAAUAACCUAGUAUCGAGAAGUGUGCCACUCUAUGUGGGGCCUACAUCAAGCUGGAUGCAUUCUUCUAAGAUCAAGAAUUUGGAGUCUUAAGAACCUAUCCACGAAAAAAGUACAAAUCAAUGUCUUCAGAAUAUAUUAACACAUCAUCUAUAUAGACUAUAGAGAUAUGACCAUAUUGAUUAAAAAUAUUAUUCAUGAUAUUUUGAAAUACGAAUGGAGCAUUUUUUAGUCCGAAGGGCAUUACGUUCCAUUCAUAUUGUCCAAAGGGGAUGUUGAAGGCUGUUUUAUAUUUAUCUUUUUUGGCAAUUUGUAUCUGUCAAAAUCCUAAUUUCAUAUCAAGCUUGCUAUAAAUGUUAGCUUUAUAA